rnacentral:tRNA from 1 species
GCAUCCGUAGCUCCAGCUGGAUGAAAUUACUCGGCUACGAACCGAGCGGUCGGAGGUUCGAAUCCUCCGGAUGCACCA